AUGCUUUUUAAGGCCAUUUUUCACAAGUUCAAAAGAAGACAACAGAGGUGGGGGUGGGGGGGCUUGCUAAGUCCCUCGCGAGGCCCUUCCCCUUCUGGGAGGGGCGCCCGGUUCCGCAGCCCGGCCACGGAGUCGGCUCUGGGCCCACGACCCCGCGGGCGCACCGCGGCUGCAGGGGGCCCGGAGCGGCGGCCCAGGGCGGGGACGCGGGCACGCGCGGGAGCUCUAGCCGCGGGCCGCAGCUUGGGUCGCCCCCCGCCGGCUCUGAAGUCCCCCACAGCGACGGCCACGAGCCCGAACCUGCACUUGGACCGGGUGUUAACGGUUUGCGCGCAGCCCCGGGUCGCCCCGGCUGGAAGUGCGAGCCCCGAGCCCCGAGCCCCGAGCCCGCCCGUCCGCGACCCCCUCGCGCGGGCCCCAGAGCUCCGGGAACGGGGGGGUCCCCGGCGCGCCCAGGCCGCCCCCAGGCCCUGCGGGCACAGCGGCCGAGCCCGAGCUGGGCCCCCGGCCUCCACUCACCGCUCCGGAGCCGCCCCGCGCCGCGCGCCUCGCUCCGCCCGCCCCGAGCGCCUCCGGGCCGCAGACACGCUUCCGGCCCCGCCUGCAGGUGAGCUGGGCGCGCGCCCGAGGGGUCCGGCCCGCCUCCCUCCCUCCCUCCGCGGCCCGAGGUGUGCGAGCCCCGAGGCCGGGCCGGUCUCCGAGGGCGGGGAGGGCGGGAGGGCGGGAGGCAGGGAGGCCUCGGCCGGCUGGGGGCGCGCGCGGCUCGGGCUCUCCCCGGCCGGGGCCCCGCGGCUCCGCGCGCUUCUCUCGGGCUUUGCCGACGGGGAGCGUCCGCCCGGCCCGAGCGCGGAGGGUCGCCCGUCGCCCGCGGACCGAGUGGGCUCCGAGGAGUGCGCGGCCGCCCCUCCGUCCUCGCCUUGCCCCGUGCUGGGUCCUCGGCCCUCCGCGUCCGAGGCGCUGGCGUCGCCGCUUGGUGGCAACAGAGGAGAAGUGACAAAGCCCCUGUCGUCCAGAGCGCGAACUCGGAGUCCGCGCGCGACUGGCCCCGCGCCCCUCCUCCCCGGACCCGCGCCUCCUCAUCCUCCCCGGACCCGCGUCCCCUCCUCCCGGGACCCCGGUCCCCCUCCUCCCCGGGCCCCGCUCUCCCCCUCCUCCCCGGGUCCCGCUCCCCCUCCUCCUCCCCGGGCCCCCUCCUCCCAGGGUCCCGCGUCCCCUCCUCCCCGGGUCCCGCUCCCCCUCCUCCUCCCCGGGCCCCCUCCUCCCCGGGCCCCG
rnacentral:lncRNA from 1 species